rnacentral:rRNA from 1 species
CCUACGGGAGACAGCAGUGAGGAAUAUUGGUCAAUGGACGAGAGCCUGAACCAGCCAAGUAGCGUGAAGGAUGACUGCCCUAUGGGUUGUAAACUUCUUUUAUCUGGGAAUAAAAUGUUCCACGUGUGGGAUUUUGUCUGUACCAUAUGAAUAAGGAUCGGCUAACUCCGUGCCAGCAGCCGCGGUAAUACGGAGGAUCCGAGCGUUCUCCGGAUUUAUUGGGUUUAAAGGGAGCGUAGGUGGGUUGUUAAGUCAGUUGUGAAAGUGUGCGGCUCAACCAUAAAAUUGCAGUUGAAACUGGCAGUCUUGAGUACAGUAGAGGUAGGCGGAAUUCGUGGUGUAGCGGUGAAAUGCUUAGAUAUCACGAAGAACUCCGAUUGCGAAGGCAGCUCACUGGACUACAACUGACACUGAGGCUCGAAAGUGUGGGUAUCAAACAGGAUUAGAUACCCGGGUAGUC